GUGAGCAUAGUUUAAGAAAAAUAUUAGAUUGUGAUUCUGAAGAUAGAAGUUAAAACCUACUUGCUCACC
rnacentral:tRNA from 1 species